rnacentral:rRNA from 1 species
UGAAUACGAGACGCUAAGGCGUCGAAGUAGUGUAUGUCAUACUUCCAAGAAAAGCUUGCACUGUCAUAGAUAAAAAACGCCUGUACCAUAACCGACACAGGUGGGUAGGUAGAGUAUACUAAGGGGCGCGAGAUAACUCUCUCUAAGGAACUCGGCAAAAUAACUCCGUAACUUCGGGAGAAGGAGUGCCUUAUUCGUAAGGUUGCAAUAACAAGAUCCAAGCAACUGUUUAUCAAAAACACAGGUCUCCGCUAAGUCGUAAGACGAUGUAUGGGGGCUGACGCCUGCCCAGUGCCAGAAGGUUAAAGAAGUUGGUUAGCAAUUGCGAAGCUGAUAACUGAAGCCCUGGUGAACGGCGGCCGUAACAAUAACGGUCCUAAGGUAGCGAAAUUCCUUGUCGGGUAAGUUCCGACCCGCACGAAAGGCGUAAUGAUUUGGAUACUGUCUCGGAGAGGGGCUCGGUGAAAUAGACUUGUCUGUGAAGAUGCGGACUACCUGCACCAGGACAGAAAGACCCUAUGAAGCUUUACUGUAACUUGAAAUUGAAAUUGGACUUUAUUCGCGCAGUAUAGGUGGGAGGCGUUGAUUAUAAUUUUGUGGGAUUAUUGGAGCCAUCAGUGAGAUACCACUCUUGUAAUGUUAGAUUUCUAACUUUGAAUCAUUAUCUGGUCAAAGAACAGUUUCAGGCGGGCAGUUUGACUGGGGCGGUCGCCGCCUAAACGGUAACGGAGGCGUACAAAGGUUUCCUCUGAACGGUUAGAAAUCGUAUCUAGAGUGUAAAGGCAUAAGGAAGCUUGACUGUGAGACCUACAAGUCGAGCAAGGACGAAAGUCGGUCUUAGUGAUCUGACGGUACUGAGUGGAAAGGCCGUCACUCAACGGAUAAAAGUUACUCUAGGAUAACUGGCUGAUCUCCCCCAAGAGUUCACAUCGACGGGGAGGUUUGGCACCUUGAUGUCGGCUCAUCGCAUCCUGGGGCGGUAGUACGUCCCAAGGGUUGGGCUGUUCGCCCAUGAAAGCGGUACGCGAGCUGGGUUCAGAACGUCGUGAGACAGUUCGGUCCAUAUCCGGUGUAGGCGUUAGAAUAUUGAGAGGAGCCUUCUUUAGUACGAGAGGACCGAGAAGGACAUACCUCUGGUGUACCAGUUAUCGUGCCAACGGUAAACGCUGGGUAGCUAUGUAUGGAGUGGAUAACCGCUGAAAGCAUCUAAGUGGGAAGCCCACCUCAAGAUAAGUAUUCUCA